rnacentral:sRNA from 2 species
UUUUAGCCCCGAUUGGAACGGCAUCCUUUUUCUUUUUUUUCAAGAAAAAAGAAAAAGAUACAGUGGAAAGCGGGACUGGUC